AGCGUAGACGGCAUGGCAAGCCAGAUGUGAAAGCCCGGGGCUCAACCCCGGGACUGCAUUUGGAACUGUCAGGCUAGAGUGUCGGAGAGGAAAGCGGAAUUCCUAGUGUAGCGGUGAAAUGCGUAGAUAUUAGGAGGAACACCAGUGGCGAAGGCGGCUUUCUGGACGAUGACUGACGUUGAGGCUCGAAAGCGUGGGAGCAAACA
rnacentral:rRNA from 1 species